ACUUCUAAUUUUAACAAGUGGAUGCACAUAUAGUCAAAGACUACAAAGAGGAGUCGAUUAUUGUCAUAUCCCGGUAAUACUCAUUCCGUACUACCGCAUGUGCCAUCCAUUGCGAAAACUUUGGGUGGAGAGAAAAGGUAAAUGUGUUAGGGCAUUUCAAUGCGUCGUAGGGUAUACGAAAGCUGAGUGCAUAAGAAAUUGCUUACAGUCGAAAACUGAGAAAGGGGAGAAACUCGAAAAGGAACCCAUCUCUAAAAGACCCAAAAUGCUUCCUACACCGUGCCCUUCAAUAAAAUACUUAUUUAAUGCAAACAAAUGCCAUAGAUUAAGAAAGCAAUUAAAAAAAAAAAAAAAUAUUGAAGACCUGAAAGAGUUGUCCAGUUUAUAAUUUCAUUAAACAAUUAAAUUACAAAUUUGUCAUAUAAA